rnacentral:rRNA from 1 species
UACGAGUGCCUCGAGCGUUAUCCGGAAUCAUUGGGCGUAAAGGAUGUGUAGGUGGUCUUGUUAGUCUCUUGUUAAAUUCUUCGGCUCAACCGGGGGCAUGCAAGGGAAACGGCAAGACUUGAGGAUGCAAGGGGUUACUGGAACUCUAGGUGUAGCGGUGAAAUGCGUUGAUAUCUAGGGGAACACCAAAAGCGAAGGCAAGUAACUGGGGCAUUCCUGACACUGAGACAUGAAAGCGUGGGUAGCGAAUGGG